rnacentral:lncRNA from 1 species
UGCAGCUUGUCACAGGCUCUCCACACCCACCAGUUUCAUUGCAUUGCGCAGAACUCCAGCCAUCUUUCUCAUCUGUCGGGCAUUUUCUGAGAAAGAGGGGAACUCUGCAUCUCCCUCCUCCUCCCUUUGCCCUGGCAAAGAGGUGCCAGGUGCCUGAGGCCUGAACAGCCCUGAGCCAGGGAGUGGAACGUUCUGUCCUCUCUUGCUUAGAGGGCUUUCUCAGUGUCCCCAGUCAUCAGGCCGUGCCUCCUGACGCUGGCCUUUUUACUACAGGCACCUGCAGCACCUGCAGCAGAGUCCUUGGAAUUUGAGAAGGAACCCACAGCAGGAGGAGAGCCACUGGAGACCUGGAGACGGCAUGCAGAGAACAGGGACUGGGCUGGCGAACCACCACUCAGCAGCUGCCAAGGCCAGCUCCAGCCCCAAACCCUGCCAACUUGGGCAGCCGGCCUGGGAGCAGGCCUGAGCAGCCCGUCCCAGCCUAGGUUUAGGCCAACCGCUGCUUGUUCUUGUGGAGAUGUGUGUGUUCUUGUCUGAGCAGUUACCCCCGCUGACCACCCCACCCCAGAGACCCCGAGCCCAGUCCCA